GUUAAGAAUCUUGCGCAAUGGGGGGAACCCUGACGCAGCGACGCCGCGUGGAUGAUGAAGGCCUUCGGGUUGUAAAGUCCGGUAAGCAGGGAAGAAUAAGUGUGGGGUAAUAUUCCACAUGAUGACGGUACCUGCCUAAAGCCCCGGCUAACUACGUGCCAGCAGCCGCGGUAAUACGUAUGGGGCAAGCGUUGUUCGGAAUUAUUGGGCGUAAAGGGCGUCUAGGCGGGGGAUUAAGUUAGAUGUGAAAGCUAUGGGCUCAACCCAUAAAUUGCAUCUAAGACUGGUUCUCUUGAGUCCGGGAGAGGAGAGCGGAAUUCCAGGUGUAGCGGUGAAAUGCGUAGAUAUCUGGAAGAACACCAGUGGCGAAGGCGGCUCUCUGGCCUAGGACUGACGCUGAAGCGCGAAAGCGUGGGGAGCGAACAGGAUUAGAAACCCGUGUAGUCC
rnacentral:rRNA from 1 species